UAUUUGGAAAAUACUUGUAAUUAAUUUAAAGCGGCUUUUCUCAUUCUAGGUACUAGAUGAGUACUUUCGUUACAGCGCAAUUCUUGUAUUGACCAGGUACGAAUCGGAAUGGAGGACAUCCCACAACAGACAAAAAAUGAAAUACAAUUCACAAAUUAGUACCACAUCUUGUUCAUUUUCAUGAACAAGUGUUAAAGAACUUUUAUAUUUAUAUAAAAGACAUAUUCAACUGGUUGUCUUUACUAAGUUUAGAUGCAUUCUUGAUUCAAUGUAUCUACGAGAAGCGCAUUGAAAAAAAAAAGUUUGUUUGUAAUAGUUUAUAUUCAAAGACUGUUGAAAACACAUUUCCUCAACUAUUCUUGAGUUUGGCAUUGAUAACCUUUUGAAUUUCAUUAAUACGAGUUCUCACUUUUUUUUGUAAUCCAAAAAACGGUGAUGGAUGGUUUGUAAGGCAAUGGAUUAACAACUUUUCAAUAAAAUAAUUCUUUACUCUAGUCAAAGGAACAA